rnacentral:rRNA from 1 species
UACGGAGGGGGCUAGCGUUGUUCGGAAUUACUGGGCGUAAAGCGCACGUAGGCGGCUUUGCAAGUCAGAGGUGAAAGCCUGGUGCUCAACACCAGAAUUGCCUUUGAGACUGCAUCGCUUGAACGUCGGAGAGGUGAGUGGAAUUCCGAGUGUAGAGGUGAAAUUCGUAGAUAUUCGGAAGAACACCAGUGGCGAAGGCGGCUCACUGGACGACUGUUGACGCUGAGGUGCGAAAGCGUGGGGAGCAAACAGG